rnacentral:rRNA from 1 species
UACGAAGGGGGGCGAGCGUUGUUCGGAAUUACUGGGCGUAAAGGGCGCGUAGGCGGCGACCCAAGUCAGAUGUGAAAGUCCUGGGCUUAACCUGGGGACUGCAUUUGAUACUGGGUUGCUUGAAUUCGGGAGAGGAUAGCGGAAUUCCCCAGUGUAGAGGUGAAAAUUCGUAGAUAUUGGGAAGAACACCGGUGGCGAAGGCGGCUAUCUGGACCGACAUUGACGCUGAGGCGCGAAAGCGUGGGGAGCAAACAGG